rnacentral:misc_RNA from 1 species
UUUAAUGAAAGGUUGCUUUAUCCUAGGCUCACCCUGAGCCAACCUAUGUUAGGUUUUUUAAUAACAUUAGGUCGUGCCAGACAGCAUUUUUAAAAACUUUUUUAACGUCUUUUUAAGAAACUCCUCUGGUUCAUUGACUGAUUCAACCACAAACAUUAUGAGGGCAAAAGGGUACAUGAUCCAGCACAGCGGAGUGGACGACAGUGAUGACGAAAAUGAAGAUGACGAGGAUGAAUGGCUGGACUACCAUCAGAUUGUCGCAUCGAAUGGCGGGACUUUCUUUAAAAGAAAAAAGCUUUCUUUCAUUAAAGCAAGUCUUCAGGGUUAUGAUGGUAUCAAACAGGAGUGUAAAGGAUGGUUCUUACUGACUGAUCCCUGGUGGGACAUUACUGUUAACUUGAGCGACAGGAGGAUGGUUAAAGGACCAGUGCAAUAUAAUCUGAGAACCGACACUCAAGGGAUUUUGCGCCAUAAGCUUGUGACGCUGCUGUUGAGCAAAGUUGUCAAUAAACUGAAGUUUACACAUCAAUUUAUGACAGAUUUUGAAGCAUUUAUCAGGGAAACUGGGCAGGAGACAAAAGCAACCUUUAACUCCCUGGAGAUGCUGCUUGGCGAAUACAAAGAGUCAAGAGAUCUGACAGGUUCAAAACUCGAUGAAUUUAAAAAAAUUCUGCACUCGGAGGAUGUGCAGCUGGUUCUGAGGGCACAGCAGUUCCCAGCACUGAUGUCAUUGCUUUGUUCUUUAUUUCCAACAUUCUUUAUCGACUGCUUGGUGGCGCCCCCUGGCAGCGUUUUAUCACAGAUGAAUGAAGCAGCCACAAAAGAGCCAUGGAUAUUUGGUUUUAGCAAGAUUUUGUCCAGUCGUUUUAAACUUUUUGGAAUUGAGGCUAAAUUAAAAGACUUCCAUGCUGCUGGCCUCCUGGAGAAACUGUCUCAGAGAGAGAAGGAUGCUCUGUAUAUCUAUGCAGUAUUGAAACAUGAUGCGGCUUGCAAUGGACACACCUACAUCUCCAUCAAGAGUCUGAUGGAGCACAAGGAAUGGCAGCAACUUAAACACGAAGUUGUCAACUGGUUGUCAUCUCUCCAGCUACUCAGCACAAAUGAAGUGAUCUGCGAAGAACGCUUCAACUCGGAGAGGAAUAUAUUUCUCUAUCACAACUGGAAGGCAGAAGUGGAUAUAGCAAAGGGCUUGCACGAAGUGCUGAAGAGAGGGAUGACUGCACAAGAAAGCUGGCAGAUGGAUUUUUCUAGCUGUGAAGUGGACUGUUUACGAGCUGAUCCCGAUCAGUGGGCAGCAGCACAGAAAUUGGUGGGAAGCCCAAUUUGUGUUAUGUCGGGUAAAAGGCGGUUGUGGCAAAACUACAGUUAUCUCGCAAGUCAUCCGCAGUGUCUGCUUUGGAAAAAAUGCAAGUGCCAACACAAAACCUGAUGUUUAUCAUUCAGCUCAACAGAGCUUGGAGCUAGGACUUCAGACCUCACAUCCUUUAGAAACACCUAGAACCAACAACCAUGCUGAUUUGAACAAAAACUCUGUAGGCAUGGAUUGUAUAUCACCUGAGCAGCUUGCCAGAAUGCUGGACCACUUGACCAAGUCACAGAAGGAUAAGAUGUGUCAAAUCAUGCUGGAGAAGGACAAGCAGACCAGACAGCAAGCAAUGAAAAAGACUCAGUUGUACACAGACUUGUGCACAGAUUUGGUCCAUUUCCUGAGUUCUUCUGCUGACACAUCUUUGUCGGAUACUUACUUUGGCUCAAAAAUCCUUCUAACUGCCCCCACAGGUAAAGCUGCUAAGUUGCUUGGACACAAAGCCAAAAUGGAAUCAUACACACUUCACCAUGUCAUCUUUAGCUACAGAGCCUUUGUCAAGGCACAGAAGGAAAAGGUGAAACAAGAGGAACCUUGGAAGUAUACAAAGACAGGUUCUAGUAGUGGACGAGUGCAGCCUGGUCUGUUUACGGCUGUUUGCAACACUGUUAAACAUCUUGAUUGAAAACAGCUCACUGCAAAAGGUCAUCCUCUUAGGAGACAUCCGCCAGUUGCCAUCAAUAGAAGCAGGUAAUUUCUUGACAGAUGUCUUUUCCUUCUUUCGAGAACGUGGCCUUGGCAUUGAACUCAAGACAAAUCAUCGAGCAGAGUCGGACCUUAUUGUUCGCAAUGCCACUCGCAUCUCCAAUCAGAGGCUUCCUUACUGUGAUCCAAGUCAACAUUUCCAUCUAAUUGCUCUGCCAGAGAGCUCAGGAAGAAAUGAAGAAAUUUCGCAAUUGCUUCAAAGUCAAUCUGAAUUGAAGGCACAUGAGACAUCACAGUUUGUGGCAUUCCGAAGGUCCGACUGUCUGGCAAUCAAUGAAUUGUGCUGCUGGCAUUACAACCAGCACUCCAUAGAGCUUCCACCAAAACCAAACAGCCUACAGCGUCGCCGUUAUUUCGACUUUCGUGUUGGGGACAAGAUCUGCUUUCGCAAAAAUGG